rnacentral:rRNA from 1 species
AACGCUGGCGGCGUGCCUCAGACAUGCAAGUCGAACGCGAAAGUCCCCUUCGGGUGGCGAGUAGAGUGGCGUCCGGGUGAGUAACACGUAGGUGAUCUACCUUUGGGUGGGGAAUAACGCAGGGAAACUUGCGCUAAUACCGCAUAAUGCAGCGGCACCACAUGGUCAUUUCCAUUAAAGCGGGGGAUUUUCGAACCUCGCGCCUGAAGAGGAGCCUGCGGCAGAUUAGCUAGUUGGUAGGGUAACGGCUUACCAAGGCGACGAUCUGUAGCCGGCCUGAGAGGGCGGUCGGCCACACUGACACUGACAUACGGGUCAGACUCCUACGGGAGGCAGCAGUCGGGAAUUUUGGGCAAUGGGCGAAAGCCUGACCCAGCAACGCCGCGUGAAGGAUGAAAUCCUUCGGGAUGUAAACUUCGCAAGAAUGGGAAGAAUUAGUAGGGGUUAAUACCCUCUAUGAUGACGGUACCAUUUGUAAGCUCCGGCUAACUCCGUGCCAGCAGCCGCGGUAAUACGGGGGGAGCAAGCGUUGUUCGUAUUUACUGGGCGUAAAGGGCGCGUAGGCGGUCAGCACAAGUCAGUUGUGAAAUCUCCGGGCUUAACUUCGGAAAGGUCAACUGAUACUGUGCGACUAGAGUGCAGAAAGGGGCAACCUGGAAUUUCGGUGUAGCGGUGAAAUGCGUAGAUAUCGAGAGGAACACCUGCGGCGAAGGCGGGUUUGUUGGGCUGACACUGACGCUGAUGCGCGAAAGCCAGGGGAGCGAACGGGAUUAGAUACCCCGGUAGUCCUGCCCUUAAACGAUGGAUGCUUGGUGUCUGGAGUUUUAUAGUCUCCGGGUGCCGUAGCUAACGCGUUAAGCAUCCCGCCUGGGGAGUACGGUCGCAAGACUGAAACUCAAAGGAAUUGACGGGGACCCGCACAAGCGGUGGAGCAUGUGGUUCAAUUCGACGCAACGCGAAGAACCUUACCUGGUCUCGAAGCGCAGUGGACCGGGGUAGAAAUAUCCCUUUUCGCAAGAACCGCUGCGGAGGUGCUGCAUGGCUGUCGUCAGCUCGUGUCGUGAGAUGUUGGGUUAAGUCCCGCAACGAGCGCAACCCUUAUCCCUAGUUGCCAUCAGGUCAAGCUGGGCACUCUAGUGAAACCGCCCCGGAUAACGGGGAGGAAGGUGGGGAUGACGUCAAGUCCUCAUGUCCUUUAUGUCCAGGGCUACACACGUGCUACAAUGGUCGGUACAAACCGUCGCAAACCUGCGAAGGGGAGCUAAUCGGAAAAAGCCAGCCUCAGUUCGGAUUUGAGUCCAGAACUCGCCUCCAAUAAGCGGGAAUCGCUAGUAAUCACCGAUCAGCACGCCGCGGUGAAUUCGUUCUCAAGCCUCCAGCACGCCCCCCUGUCUAAAGACGCAAAUUGAACGUCCCAGAAGUAGGCGAGCUAUACUCGCAGAUAAGGUGAUGCCGCGG